UACGUAGGGUGCAAGCGUUGUCCGGAAUUAUUGGGCGUAAAGGGCUCGUAGGCGGUUUGUCGCGUCUGGAGUGAAAACUCAGGGCUUAACCCUGAGCCUGCUUCCGAUACGGGCAGACUAGAGGUAUGCAGGGGAGAAUGGAAUUCCAGGUGUAGCGGUGAAAUGCGUAGAUAUCUGGAGGAACACCGGUGGCGAAGGCGACAUCCUGGACCGACACUGACGCUGAGGCGCGAAAGCGUGGGGAGCAAACAGG
rnacentral:rRNA from 1 species